CCUGGUUGAUCCUGCCAGUAGUAUAUGCUUGUCUCAAAGAUUAAGCCAUGCAUGUCUCAGUGCAAGCCACAUUAAGUUGAAACCGCGAAUGGCUCAUUACAUCAGUUAUGGUUCCUUAGAUCGUACCCACAUUACUUGGAUAACUGUGGUAAUUCUAGAGCUAAUACAUGCAAAUAGAGUUCCGACCAGAGGUGGAAGGAAUGCUUUUAUUAGAUCAAAACCAAUCGGUGGCGGGCUUGCCUUGCUCACCGUUUGACUUGGUGACUCUGAAUAACUUUGUGCUGAUCGCACGGUCUAGUACCGGCGACGCAUCUUUCAAAUGUCUGCCUUAUCAACUGUCGAUGGUAGUUUCUGCGACUACCAUGGUUGUUACGGGCAACGGGGAAUCAGGGUUCGAUUCCGGAGAGGGAGCCUGAGAAACGGCUACCACAUCCAAGGAAGGCAGCAGGCGCGCAAAUUACCCACUCCCGGCACGGGGAGGUAGUGACAAAAAAUAACGAUACGGGACUCAUCCGAGGCCCCGUAAUCGGAAUGAGUACACUUUAAAUCCUUUAACGAGGAUCUAUUAGAGGGCCAGUCUGGUGCCAGCAGCCGCGAUAAUUCCAGCUCUAAUAGUUGAAUCUGUGUCCCACACUGUCGGUUCACCGCUCGCGGUGUUCAACUGGCAUGCCUGUGGGACGUCCUCCCAGUGGGCUUAGCCCGUCAAAAGGCGGCCCAACUCAAAAUCCUACCACGGUGCUCUUCACCGAGUGUCGAGGUGGGCCGGUACGUUUACUUUGAACAAAUUAGAGUGCUUAGAGCAGGUUCAUUCGCCUGAAUAUUGUGUGCAUGGAAUAAUGGAAUAGGACCUCGGUUCUAUUUUGUUGGUUUUCGGAAUUCCGAGGUAAUGAUUAAUAGGGACAACUGGGGGCAUUCGUAUCGCGACGUUAGAGGUGAAAUUCUUGGAUCGUCGCAAGACGGACAAAAGCGAAAGCAUUUGUCAAAUGUGUUUUCAUCAAUCAAGAACGAAAGUUAGAGGUUCGAAGGCGAUCAGAUACCGCCCUAGUUCUAACCAGCUAGCGAUCCGCCGAAGUUCCUCCGAUGACUCGGCGGGCAGCUUCCGGGAAACCAAAGCUUUUGGGUUCCGGGAGAAGUAUAGUUGCAAAGCUAAAACUUAAAGGAAUUGACGGAAGGGCACUACAAGGAGUGGAGCCUGCGGUUUAAUUUGACUCAACACGGGAAACCUCACCAGGUCCAGACACCGGAAGGAUUGACAGUUUGAGAGCUCUUUCUUGAUUCGGUGGGUAGUGGUGCAUGGCCGUUCUUAGUUGGUGGAGUGAUUUGUCUGGUUAAUUCUGAUAACGAACGAGACUCUAGCCUGCUAAAUAGACGUACUUUCUGGUAUCGCAAAGACCCCCCGCUUCGUUGGUUGUGGUUCUCACUACCGGCGUACAAAUAUAUCUUCUUAGAGGGCAGGUUUUCCUUGGCCGAAAGGUCCGGGUAAUCCGUUGAAGCCUCUUCGUGCUAGGGAUUGGGGCUUGCAAUUCUUCCCCAUGAACGAGGAAUUCCUAAUAAGCGCGAGUCAUAAGCUUGCGUUGAUUAUGUCCCUGCCCUUUGUACACACCGCCCGUCGCUACUACCGAUUGAAUUAUUUAGUGAGGUCUUCGGACCGGUGCGCGGCAGCGUUUCGACAUUGCCGAUGUUGCUGGGAAGAUAACCAAACUUGAUUAUUUAGAGGAAGUAAAAGUCGUAACAAGGUUUCCGUAAAUGAACCUGCGGAAG
rnacentral:rRNA from 1 species